rnacentral:rRNA from 1 species
CAGCACCUCAAGUGGUCAGGAUGAUUAUUGGGCCUAAAGCAUCCGUAGCCGGCUCUGUAAGUUUUCGGUUAAAUCUGUAUGCUCAACAUACAGGCUGCCGGGAAUACUGCAGAGCUAGGGAGUGGGAGAGGUAGACGGUACUCGGUAGGAAGGGGUAAAAUCCUUUGAUCUAUUGAUGACCACCUGUGGCGAAGACGGUCUACCAGAACACGUCCGACGGUGAGGGAUGAAAGCUGGGGGAGCAAACCGGAUUAGAUACCCGCGUAGUCC